rnacentral:rRNA from 1 species
UUCCGGUUGAUCCUGCCGGACCCGACUGCUAUCAGAGUGGGACUAAGCCAUGCGAGUCGACGUAGCAAUGCGUGGCGAACGGCUCAGUAACACGUAGUCAACAUGCCCAGGGGACGUGGAUAACCUCGGGAAACUGAGAAUAAACCACGAUAGGUCACGAUUUCUGGAAUGGAUCAUGGCCCAAAUCUACAUGGCCCCUGGAUUGGACUGCGGCCGAUCAGGCAGUCGGUGAGGUAAUGGCCCACCAAACCUAUAACCGGUACGGGCUCUGAGAGGAGAAGCCCGGAGAUGGGCACUGAGACAAGGGCCCAGGCCCUAUGGGGCGCAGCAGGCGCGAAACCUCUGCAAUAGGCGAAAGCCUGACAGGGUUACUCUGAGUGAUUUCCGCUAAGGGGAUCUUUUGGCACCUCUAAAAAUGGUGCAGAAUAAGGGGUGGGCAAGUCUGGUGUCAGCCGCCGCGGUAAUACCAGCACCCCGAGUGGUCGGGACGAUUAUUGGGCCUAAAGCAUCCGUAGCCGGUUCUGCAAGUCUUCCGUUAAAUCCAGCCGCUCAACGGAUGGGCCGCGGAGGAUACUACAGGACUAGGAGGCGGGAGAGGCAAGCGGUACUCAGUGGGUAGGGGUAAAAUCCUUUGAUCCAUUGAAGACCACCAGUGGCGAAGGCGGCUUGCCAGAACGCGCUCGACGGUGAGGGAUGAAAGCUGGGGGGGCAAACCGGAUUAGAUACCCGGGUAGUCCCAG